UGAGAGCAGAGUUUGCUUCAGGAGGGUUGUUGUGCUCAUGAAGCACAGAAAUUCUCUUGCUUCUGUGUGUUUGAACGGUCAGAAACAUUCUGCCAAUGAAAGGCUGCUACAAGAUCACAUGAGGAAACAUGGUGUUGAUCAUCGGGACUCCAGGUGUUGAUCAUCAGGAAUCCAGGUAUUGAUCAUCGGGACUCCAGGUGUUGACCAUUGGGAAUCCAGGUGUUCACCAUCGGGACUCCAGGUGUUGAUCAUCGGGUGCUGAUCAUCGCACAUACGGCCCAAGAUGGAUCUCAUGGAAAUCCUCAGACAGACCCAUGUGAGUGCAGCCUUCCCAUAAAAUCUCAUCAGGGAUUCACUUACUCUGGACACUGAAUUAUUCCUCCUCAUCACC